UGUUUUGAUUACAGCAGCUCUGUAUUAUAAUUUGAAGUCAAGUAAUAUGAUUACUCCAGUUUUGAUCUAUUUGCUCAGGAUAGCUCUGGCUGUUCUGUGUUUUUUGUGGUUCCAUAUACAGUUUAGGAUUACUUUCUCUAUUUCUGUGAAGAAUGUCAUUGGAAUUUUUAUAGAGAUUGCAUUGCAUCUCUAGAU